rnacentral:rRNA from 1 species
AGCAUUAUACGGCGAAACUGCGAAUGGCUCAUUAUAUAAGUUAUCGUUUAUUUGAUAGCACAUUACUACUUGGAUAACCGUGGUAAUUCUAGAGCUAAUACAUGCUAAAAAUCCCGACUUCGGAAGGGAUGUAUUUAUUAGAUUAAAAGCCAAUGCCCUCUGGGCUCUCUGGUGAAUCAUGAUAACUGCUCGAAUCGCAGGGCCUCGUGCCGGCGAUGGUUCAUUCAAAUUUCUUCCCUAUCAACUUUCGAUGUUUGGGUAUUGGCCAAACAUGGUUACAACGGGUAACGGAGGGUUAGGGCUCGACCCCGGAGAAGGAGCCUGAGAAACGGCUACUACAUCCAAGGAAGGCAGCAGGCGCGCAAAUUACCCAAUCCCGACACGGGGAGGUAGUGACAAUAAAUACUGAUACAGGGCUCUUUCGGGUCUUGUAAUUGGAAUGAGUACAAUUUAAAUCCCUUAACGAGGAACAAUUGGAGGGCAAGUCUGGUGCCAGCAGCCGCGGUAAUUCCAGCUCCAAUAGCGUAUAUUAAAGUUGUUGUGGUUAAAAAGCUCGUAGUUGACCCUUGGGCCUGGCUGGCCGGUCCGCCUCACCGCGUGUACUGGUCCGGCCGGGCCUUUCCCUCUGUGGAACCCCAUGCCCUUCACUGGGCGUGGCGGGGAAACAGGACUUUUACUUUGAAAAAAUUAGAGUGCUCCAGGCAGGCCUAUGCUCGAAUACAUUAGCAUGGAAUAAUAGAAUAGGACGUGCGGUUCUAUUUUGUUGGUUUCUAGGACCGCCGUAAUGAUUAAUAGGGACAGUCGGGGGCAUCAGUAUUCAAUUGUCAGAGGUGAAAUUCUUGGAUCUAUUGAAGACUAACUACUGCGAAAGCAUUUGCCAAGGAUGUUUUCAUUAAUCAAGAACGAAAGUUAGGGGAUCGAAGACGAUCAGAUACCGUCGUAGUCCUGACCGUAAACUAUGCCGACUAGGGAUCGGACGAUGUUAUUUUUUGACUCGUUCGGCACCUUACGAGAAAUCAAAGUGCUUGG